AUUGAAGGUGUCUCCGCUACAGACACAAGUGUCUGUAGCGGUUAAAAAGCAUAUCCUGCAACAAAGGUAGUGCACAGAGAAUUGAUUUAAACUCUUGUUUGCCAAGAAGUUACAAGUUUUUAUAGACAGUUACCUCAGUCUAGCAUGUGUCUUCAACCUAUCUCUGUCAGUUCUCACAGACCAAGAUGCUUUUACUCACACAGCAGAGGCAGAUCUCCCAGAAACCUCAUCUACCCUCCAGUACUGUCUCAUUGUCCUGCACUGGUGAACUCAGCUACACCGGCUGCCCUAUCCUCUGCCUAUGUAUUCUCUCACACUCCACGAGAAACUGGCAGAGGUGGUGGUACGGGUCUCCUGUUGUCCAAGAGGUGGUCCUUCUCGCCCAUCACCCUGUCUCAUCUCAGUUUUUCAUCAUUUGAAUUUCAUGCAGUUAAGAUCUCCUUUGCCCGCUGUCAUCUAAACCAAGGAAGAAAUCUUGUCCUGCUCCUUGGCUAUCUGAUGUACUGCGCAACAACAGGAGAGAAUUAAGAACUGCGGAGAGAAGAUGGAAGAAAUCACAGCUUGAUGCAGAUCUCAUCUCUUACCAGACUCUUCUUUCCAAAUUCUCAUGUGAUGUGACUUCUGCCAAAACUACCUUCUUCAGACAAAAGUUGGAAGCGUCUGCACAUGAUCCUGGCAAACUCCACAACAUCUUCUCCUCACUACUCAACCCACCGACUCCUCCUGCCCCUUCCUCUCUGACUGCUGACGAUUUUGCCACAUUCUACGAUGGGAAGAUUGUAGCAAUCCGCCAGUCCUUCGCUCUCAACAGAACUCCUACGGCAGAACCUCAGGACCUUUCCUUCCCUCCUUUAGCAGAAUUUUCCAACUUGUCAUCUGACGAGAUUCAACAGAUCAUCUCGUCAUCUAACCCCACCACCUGUUCAUUAGACCCAAUCCCUUCCACAAUGCUCCAGGCCAUCUCACGUGACCUCCUUCCCUUCACCACAGCCAUCAUCAACCAAUCCAUAUCAUCUGGUCAUGUUCCUGCCGCUU